rnacentral:rRNA from 1 species
UACAGAGGGUGCGAGCGUUAAUCGGAAUUACUGGGCGUAAAGCGCACGUAGGUGGCGACGUAAGUCGGGUGUGAAAGCCCCGGGCUCAACCUGGGAAUUGCAUUCGAGACUGCGUUGCUGGAGUACGGAAGAGGAGGGCGGAAUUCCCGGUGUAGCGGUGAAAUGCGUAGAUAUCGGGAGGAACAUCAGUGGCGAAGGCGGCCCUCUGGUCCAGUACUGACACUCAAGUGCGAAAGCGUGGGGAGCGAUCCGG